rnacentral:rRNA from 1 species
UUGUGGGUAAAGGCCUACCAAGGCGACGAUCUGUAGCGGGUCUGAGAGGAUGAUCCGCCACACUGGGACUGAGAUCACGGCCCAGACUCCUACGGGAGGCAGCAGUGGGGAAUAUUUGGACAAUGGGGGGGGAACCCUGAUCCAGCCAUGCCGCGUGUGUGAAGAAGGCCCUUAUGGUUGUAAAGCACUUUAAGCGAGGAGAGAGGCUACUAGUUAAUUAAUACUACUGGAUAGUGGACGUUACUCGCAGAAUAAGCACCGGCUAACUCUGUGCCAGCAGCCGCGGUAAUACAAGAGGGUGCGAGCGUUAAUCGGAUUUACUUGGGCGUAAAGCGUGCGUAGGCGGCCAUUUAAGGUCAAAUGUGAAAUCCCCCGAGCUUAACUUGGGAAUUGCAUUCGAUACUGGAUGGCUAGAGUAUGGGAGAGGAUGGUAGAAAUUCCAGGUGUAGCGGUGAAAAUGCGUAGAGAUCUGGAGGAAUACCGAUGGCGAAGGCAGCCAUCUGGGCCUAAUACUGACGCUGAGGUACGAAAGCAUGGGGAGCAAACAGGAUUAGAUACCCUGGUAGUCCAUGCCGUAAACGAUGUCUACUAGCCGUUGGGGCCUUUGAGGCUUUAGUGGCGCAGCUAACGCGAUAAGUAGACCGCCUGGGGGAGUACGGUCGCAAGACUAAAACUCAAAUGAAUUGACGGGGGCCCGCACAAGCGGUGGAGCAUGUGGUUUAAUUUCGAUGCAACGCGAAGAACCUUACCUGGCCUUGACAUACUAGAAACUUUCCAGAGAUGGAUUGGUGCCUUCGGGAAUCUAGAUACAGGUGCUGCAUGGCUGUCGUCAGCUCGUGUCGUGAGAUGUUGGGUUAAGUCCCGCAACGAGCGCAACCCUUUUCCUUACUUGCCAGCAUUUCGGAUGGGAACUUU